AUUUUGCGAUUAAAUGGGCUGGCGCUUUGGGCGAAACGGCGAUCAAUAGACGAUCUCUCGAUAGACUGCAAUUUCAUUGUUGAUUCUGGUCUCUCUGGUCUCUGUAUGGCCUCUCUGUGUAUAUGGCUUGGUUAAAAUCAGCCUAGAAUUCGAGCCGGCUAGCUUUUCGCAGAAUUUAAGGACCGUUGAGGGAGAGUUAGCGGAUCAAAUUGGUGGGAAAGGGAGGUUGUUGUUUCGUGGUUUACGUGGAUAGGGGAAUAAUUUUGGCGGAGAGAGGAAAAAGAAGGCCGUCCACGAGACGUCACUUCCUGGCCAGGAUCGAAACGUCAGGAGACUGUUCCUCCACCCCACGGGGCGCGCGCAUGGACCUCCAUUGAAUCGAUGACACGUAGCGGAAGGUACUCGGGGAUGAAUGUGCGGAUAAUCCAUUAGACGCCGUUGUAACCUAAAACCGGGCAAACAAGGGUGAUCUCCGGAUUGAGUCCCGGGGCGGACGGAUGGACCGUGGAUGAACGAAACGUUGAAAUUUGUGAUAAAGUCAACGCGAACGGGUGAACAGGUGAGCAACAAUGGGAACCGAUAAACGUCAGAAACGGAGGAUCUCGAUAACCGACAAGACAAUUUGCAAAAUUUUCUUUCGUAUUAUGGAAGUUUACGUGAAAUAUUUUCUGAAUAAUUAUUAUUGAAAUGUGAUAAAUAAAAAUGGUGUUUCUUCUCCCCUUUAACGUGAUGUUCCAACGAAAAUUGUACGAAUUGUAUUUUUGUUAAUUUUAUAUAUAAUUUUUAAGACACUUUUCCUUUCUUCCAUUAUUUGCAAUCAUUUGUUUUUUAUAUUUAUCUCAGGAUCGUUUAAAGUGUAACUGUUUCGUUCGAAUAUUUUAAUUAAUCGUUAGUCAUCGAUGAUCCUCGACGUGGUCGUCGAUGAUUAUUAUUCCAAUGGUCGAGAUACAAGUCGAGAGAGAGAGAUUAAAUAUAAAUACAUGGUAAUGCUCGAGAAGCGGUCUAAAAAAAGAAUUUAUAUCUUAUCUUCGAACUCGAUUAAUACAUCGAUUUUUAUUUCAUCUUGCAAAUGUUGCUGUUGCAUUUUAAAAUAUGUAAAAUUCAUCUCCGAGAAACGUUUAUAUCUACGUCUGAGAAUUGAUUUACAUGCACUGCAAAUGCGUUCCUUUGGUCUAAUCGAAAAAGCAAUUAGGUUAGAAAGUCUUUGCUCUUGCUUGAUCGCAAUAAGGAUAGAUGGCGGUAGUAUGCGUGUAUAAACAUUAAUUAAAAAAUAUUUCUAUGUCAUUCUUGAUCGAUUAUUUGUGCUUCGAUUAUCUGCUUAUUGAAAAUAAUUAAACGCGAAGAAGAAUUGGAAAAUUAAAUUGUUUAUCAAAUUAUUAUUAAA